GAUGAAGAUGAUGAUGACGAUGAAGAGACCACAUCUGCUGUGACAGAAGUGGACAAUGCUGGUAGAUCCACUGAGUACAUACCUAGGGAUCUGCCCACAGAUGAGGGUCCUUCAGCCUCAGCACACAAUCUAAGCAGGUUGCCAGCAAAGGAGCUGUAUAAGGUCCAUCUUCAAAAA